UCAUAUUCAUCAUGAAGAAGAACACAAUAUGUUGAAUGUUAUAUGAGAAAUCCCACCAUAUGUAUUUUAAAUUAAAACAACAAAUGCACUAGUAAUAACAAGUUAAAGCUGAAUCAAUGAAAUCAAGCAAGAUACAACACAACUAAUGUUUCUUUAUUCCUUUCAACUCCAUCCGGAGAGGGUCUAUCUCAACUUCUAAUAAUGAGGUUUCUUCUUCCAAAUCCUUAAUCUCUUGCUCCCUCCUAUAGUACACAUCCGCCGCUAUUUCGACGUUGAAAUUCUUCCACUUCGAGGUUUUCUUAGUUAUUUCAGCACGUAUCUUCAUUAUGUCUGUCUCCUCUUGAAGGCGGAUUUUGGCUGUAAACUGGCAAAUAAUUAGAGUUAAACAGAGCUUAGACAAAGAACAAAAAUCAAAAAUCAAAAUUAUACCUUGGUGCUACUGCUAGCAUAGCUAUCUCUUGAGGUCUUGCUCAUGUCUUGCUUAGUUUGUAUGGAUAAGCAACCUCUAACUCUAAGAAACAAAUAGCACGAUGAAAUAUAGUUGUUAUGAUCUUAACAUAAGUUAAAUAGAAAAAGUGUAUGUUAAAUUACAAAGGUGAUAAAAAUUCAUUUUAAAUGAAUUGAUUUUGUACAUUUGACUUUAGUUAAAAGUAAGCCGGCUAUCAACGCAUGUUUGGUUUUAUUUUUAGAGGGGUCAUAAUUGAAUCUGGAGAUGUAAAAUUAGUUUUGAAAUGUUUGCUUGCUUUCAAAGAGAAUUAAUUUUUGCUUCACAUUGAUUCUACUUGAAGUUAGGAUUUGUAGUUUUACCUUUAAUGGGAAACAACUUUCUAGAAUCAAUUCACUCAAAAUUAAUGUUUUUGCCAGCACAAAACCAAACAUACACGAAGAUGGUUUAUAAAUGGAUUAAGAAAUAAAUUUAGGUAUAAAAAUCAUAUUUAAAAUUAAAAGUGAUAAAUCCUAACUUCAAAUUAAAAUCAAUAAGCGACAUCAAGAGAAAAACCAAAGCCAAAACAUAAGAACUCACCGCCUUCUCUCACUAAACCAACCACCGCCUCUCAACUCCUUCUCGAAACACCCUCUAAAACCUUCAUUCCAGAUGUAGAUCCGACAACAGGUGGUGCUCGCGUCGCUUCACGACGACACCACCUCUUCUUCCCUUUUGAAUCCAAACGGUCCGCGUUUCAACCCUCACCGCCGGUGAGAGGUUCAUUGUCUGCAUCACCCUCCAUCGUUGGUCACUCGCGAGGCGAACAAGAACACUCGCCGUGGCAAGCGAUGAUAGACAAAUCUACGGGAAGAAACCUGUUUUCACCCAAAAACCCCAAUUUCAACUACCCAAAUCCCAAAUUUGACAGGAAACAUUACCUAUUGUAAUUCUCUAAUGGCCUCAUCUAUUUAUAAUCACUAACUGAGUUUGUUUCUUACUUAAUCUCUCUCACAUGGUUACUAUCCGCACCUCUAUUUUGGUUAUUCUUCUUGUUGUAACUACAUCGUCUUUCUAUUCACACCUCCCUCUGCUUAAAUCAUUAAAACACUACUCCAUUCUCAAACUACACCUCUUUCCUAUCAAUUUUACUAAUCCACUUCCGUUCGCACUCUACUUUCUUAUUCUUUCUAAAACGCUAUUUUCUUUCUAAACAUUAUUUUCUCUUACGCUUUAACUGACUAACCAACCUAUACUUUCUCUUUACAUAUUCUCCAAUAAAUACAAAUAAUUCAAUUAAUAUUAUCUAACAACAAAUACUAAUAACAACAUUAAUACUAAUAUUAUAUAAUAAUAAUAAUAAUAUUAAUAAACUAAUAUUAAAAAUUGGGGUGUUACACAACCAAGAAAGUAUGCAAAUUACAGCGAUCAAUCUAUGGAUUGAAGCAAGCUUCCAGAAGUUGGAAUCUUCGAUUUGAUGAAACAGUACAACAGUAUGGAUUCAUUAAAAAUGAAGAUGAGCCUUGUGUUUACAAGAAGGUUAGUGGGAGCAUAGUCUUAUUUCUAGUUUUAUAUGUGGAUGACAUAUUGUUAAUGGGAAAUGACAUCCCUACAUUACAAGAAAUCAAAACUUGGUUAGGGAAAUGCUUUUCUAUAAAAGACUUAGGUGAAGCCUCCUAUAUAUUAGGAAUCAAAAUCUAUAGAGAUAGAUCACAAAGAUUGAUUGGCUUAAGUCAAGGUACAUAUAUAGACAAAGUCCUGAGACGUUUCAAUAUGCAUGAUUCCAAGAAAGGAUUCAUGAGGAUUUUAAAUCGCAAUCUGGAUAUGUGUUUUGCUUAAAUGGCGGUGUUGUGAGCUGGAAGAGUUCAAAGCAAGAAACAGUCGUUGAUUCUACAACAGAAGCCGAGCAUAUUGCUGCAUCUAAUGCCGCAAAGGAAGCUGUUUGGAUUAAGAAAUUCAUUUCUGAUCUUGGAAUAGUUGCAAGUAUUGUGGAUCCCAUUAAAUUACUAUGUGAUAACAAUGGAGCAAUCGCACAAGCCAAAGAACCUAGAUGUCACCAGAAAUUCAAACACAUACAAAGGCGUUAUCAUCUUAUUCGAGAGAUUAUCGAAAGAGGAGAUGUUAAAAUAUGCAAAGUACCAAUGUAACACUCUCAUUUUAUUUAAUUAAUUAAUAAUUAUUAUUGGGUGUUUAGAAUAUAUUUUAUAUGAUUAUGUGAUGUUAUGUGAUUUAUAUGAUUAAUGGUGUGGUGUGUUGUAUUAAAUGACUGUUAUUAGUAUUUAAUAUAAUAAAUUGAGUUAAUAUGAUUAUUUUGAUGAUUAGGGUUUAUUUAUGAAUUAAUUAGAAUUUAUGGGUAGUUAAAUGAAAUAUAGGGAAGUUACAUUUUGGGAGUUAAGAAAAGAGAAUAUCAGAAAAAUCAGUUUUACGUGAAAACAUCAACUUUUGGGAGAAGAGGGAGAGAAGAGCAAGUAGAGCCAAGAAUCGAUUUUCUGUGCAUUUCUUUCUGCAAAUUAAGGUAAGGGUGAGGUUUACUUUCAAUAGUGUAGAUUGAAAUUCUGAAUUGUUGCUAACAAGAGGGUUUGGGUGAAUUGGGGGAAAAAUGGGUUUUGAUUAUGAAAUUGAAUAGAAAAUGUAUAGUAAUCAUAGGUUUUGUAAUGGAAUGGUGUUCUAGUCGAUUUUAGGAAUGGAUAAUAAUGUUGUAAACAGUUUUGGGGUUUGAAUUGGGAAAAAUUGGGAUUUUUGGAGAAAAUUGCAGAAUUUCACGAGUCUGAACUGACAUGAUCCGCCUGGCGAAGCAUUUUCGCCUGGCGAAAUUUCGCCAUUUGCUCGCCCUGGCCAACUGUCUGGCGAGCUGCCUUGUAGAAUUCCCGAGAGUCCCCAGAUUUUAUUCGCCAUGACGAGUAGGUAGUUCGCCUGGCGAGAAGCCAACAUUUUGAUGAAUUCGCCUGGCGAGAGCAAUCUUCGCCUGGCGAAAUUACCCAGAUUUUCUGAGUUGUUUCUUCUGUUGAUUUAUGUAAUAUUGGGUGACUGGAUGUAUGAGCAUGAUUAUAAUUAAUUGUGCAUUUCCUGUAAUUGUUGGAUUGUUGUUGAUGGUUUGUUGUUGAUUGUGAUGUAUGUCUAUAUUUAAUGAAAUCAUACAUAAUGUUGAGUUGUGGAGUCGUAAGUCACAUACAUAUAUGUGCAUUGUUGAGUUGUAUGUAGAUAUACACAAGCGGAGUCAGUUGCAUAAUCAUAAAAGCGGUGAGGGCUUAUGCCCUGGAACGCCUUGUCGUUCAAAGCGGUGGAACACAUUGUUGUUCAAAGCGGUGUUUAAUGGUGAGGACUCAUGUCCUGAAAAGGAAUGCUUUAACCAUUCUAUUAGCGGUGAGAGCUUCGGCUCUGAUAUGGUACCAUAUGCAUUUUAGAGGAGUCUUAGCGGUGUUGUUGUCGGGUUGCAUGAGUCUUUGGUGCAUUGGUUUUAAUUACCAUAUUUGUUGAUGUUGUUGAAUUAUGAAUUAUAUAUUUUAUGCUAUAUAUUUAUUAUGAUGCUAGGGUGUUAGAUUCAAUUGAUGAAUUUACUAUCUAUUAUUAUUGUUGUGAAUCUCACCCCUUCUGCUUGAAAAUGUUGCCCUUCCUAUGGGUAACUUGCAGGUGAUUCUGAGUAGUUGGUGGUGGCUCAAGUGUCGUGUCUAGGGCUCUGAUACGUACGGGAUGAGAUUUCUUGUUAUUAUUUUCAUUCCUAUGUAUCAAUUUUUGGAACAUAAUGAUGUAGCCCUUGCAUGGAUUAUGUAUUUAUUUUUGUGAGGUUUUUAUGCCAAGAUUAUUUUAUGGAGAACUUAAUAGUUGUUAAUGUUGUUUUUGAUACAAAUAUUCCGCUGCAAAUUAAUGAUGUUUUGAAGGAUGUUUACUUAAAUAGUUUUAUAUUCUAUUUAAGGAAUUUUGAAAAUGUAGUGUGACAUGCCCGUUGAUGAUGAAUACUCUGAUGUUUAAUUAUUAUUAAUUAUAUUUGGGAAAUCGGAGUGUUACAACCAACAUUAGACAAUAUUGCUGAUCUACUUACUAAAGCUCUUGCCCAGCAGAAACAUGAUGGUCAUACUAGAUCUAUGGGUAUUAGGUUUAUGCCUAAUUGGCUCUAGUGCUAGUGGGAGAUUGUUGGUGUAAGAUCUAGAGGCCAAUAUUUUAUGUUAAACUUAUCUUAUGUAUUAUGACUUUAAUUAUUGAAUAAUAUAUGACACUCUUUAUUAUAUUUAUAUAAUUUUAAUAAAGUCCUUAGAAUAGAUAGUUCGUGUAAUAAUAUAUAGGCUUAAUUGCAUUUUUGGACCCCUAUCUUUCCAAAAGUUGCGGUUAUGGACCCCUAACUAAUUUAACUACAAAACAGCCCCCUAUGUUUUGAUUCUUUGGCAGUUUUGGACCCCCAGUCCAUUGUUGACUCGGUCAACGCUGAUGUGGCAUCCUAAGUGAGGUGCCACGUGUCAAUUUUUAAUUUUUUUUUUGUCUUGGGGGUCCAAAACUGCCAAAGAAUCAAAACAUAGGGGGUUGUUUUGUAUUUAAAUUAGUUAGGGGUCUAUAACCGCAACUUUUGCAAAGAUAGGGGUCCAAAAGUGCAAUUAAGCCUAAUAUAUACUACAACAUUUUUGAGUUUAGACCACACUUAACUUGACCACAGCUAAAAAAGCAUGGCUUAAAACAUGAAUACGCCAGACUUUUGAAGUGUGGCUUAAAAAUUGUAUAUACAAUACACUUUAUGAUUUCUAUCAAAACAACGUGGUCUAUUCAAUUCUAAUAAACCGUGCCAUGUAAUACUUUAGACCACAACUUUUUCAAAUAUUAAAACCGUACCAUACUUUGGUAUCCACAAUUGAGCGGGAAUGAAAAUAAAUGAGAGGUACUUUUUCAAUUUUGAGAUCUGAAUCAUUUUAAAAAAUAAAAUAAAACAUUUUUAAAAAAUAAAAUAAAACAUUGUUUUAACAAUAAAGUAUAUCAUAUUCUUUCACAAACCCUCUCUCUAUUCACAAAAAAAAAAAAAAAAAAAAAAAAACUCUCUCUGAACCCUUUCUCUCGCUCUCUCAAACCCAUUCCUCCCAACCCAUCGAACUAACCUCUCGGUCGCGAACCUCUCCGACAACAGUCGACAUCGGCGUCUCUUACUUUUACCAAUCCUUCCUGAUUGCUUUGAACUUCCUUAACAACAACAAAAUCACACAUGCAGAUGAAGAAGGAAACUGUUUCUUUCUGUGUUGAAUUUCUAGAGGUAGGUUUUCUCUCCCUCUCUCUCUAUAUUUGAUUCUUAAUUUGGGGAAAACAAAAAUUAGGGUUGUUCAGUUUUUGUUUUGAAUCUGAUUUUAAGGAAUAAGGUUCAGAAUGAGUUUUAGAUUGUGUUUAUUUUCUCUGUUUAUGUAUGUGUUAGGCUCAAAAUUGAGAUGCUUGUUGCAAUAUGGAUAUUGUUCUCCUAAAGUGCUUCGAAUGCCAACUAACUUUGUUUAAGACAUAUAUAUAAGUAAUGUAACAUUUAGUGAGUGUCCAUAACAUGUCCCACCAUAACAUCAAAUAAGUCCCCUAAGCUUUAACUUCUACAUACUUUAGAAUCCACUCAUGUAAUUAACUCCUAAACAUAUAUGAUAGAAACUGCUCAAAAAUAAAUUUAGGAUCCGUGUGUUUUGGAUUUUUUUUGGAAAGAAAUCCUCUUUGUUUUUAUAAUUCAGUGUUUGUUUUAAAUAUUAAGAAAAUCCAUGUUAAAAUAAAUCAUUUUUAAUCUAUGAAACACGGAUACAUCUGCAUGUCGCGGUGUUCGACACGUGUUGGAUAACUUUAACAAGUGUCCUAAAUAUAUUUUUUCCUUGCUUUGAGACUCCUUGACCCAUGUCUGACACCUAUACAACACUCAUACGAGGGGUGUCAGACAACUUAGACAAAUGUAUGUUGGAAGAAAAAAAGAAAAGAGGUGCGACUAUUACAUUGAAUACAUUCCAACAUUUAUGUAUUGUAACAUGAAUCUUUACUUUUUUGUUCUCUUGUUUUUUCAUAUGCUGGAACUAUCUAGAGUUUAUACUUGUUGUUCCAUUCUUUUUGAACAUGGUAGGAUGAGCCACAUGCAUUGUCAACAUUGAGUCCAAAGUGCUCUUGUUUGAGGGGUGUGUUUUCUAAAGCAAAGCUAUAAUCAUUUCCUCCUCUCUGUCCUAUCUUUGAUUCAUUUUCAUGUCGUUUUUCAUCUUGAAGUACACCUUUUGUAUUCCUUUUUUUUCUUCCAAUAGACAUUGUCUAGAAUUUGAAUUUUCUGUUUUCAUAAGAGUUUUAAAUCUUUAAAGAAUGAUAUUUAGUAAACAAACGGAAAUUAGCUUAAUCUUUUUCUCAAAAAUUUCAAGAAAAUAUAUAGUAUUGUACCCCAAGAGUACAAAUAAGAUAUAUAGUGGAUUUGAGAUGUAUACUUUUUUUUUUAUUUGUAUUAACCUUAGAUACAUGAUUCAAGCAUACACCAUACGCCGUAAGGUUAUUUAAGACUGAAUUGGAGUUAAAUGUUGAUUUGUAGAUAAUUUUGUUGAAUUUUAAAUUAUGUAUAAGUUUACUGAUCUUGUGAGUUAUGUAUAAGUUAUUGAGGAAGCUGUGAACUAUUAUAGGCAGCUUACCAUCUACUUAUAUAUUGUUGGUAUGGGUAAACUCAUAUGGUUUCUUUGUUUUCUUGUACGGAGUAUAUUAAUGGAAGAAUGAUAUGAAUCAUGAUGAAGAUUUGAAUCACGUUCAGCUCUAUUAAAAAAUUUAGGAAUUGAAGUAUGUGCCUUGAAUUAUUUAGAAUGCAAAUGAGAUGGAAAAAAUUUGAGGAUUGAUCGAACAAUGAUAUAUCUAAUGGAAUUAGUUUUUUUUUUUUUUUUUUUAAUAAUAUUAUGUGCAUUUGAUUAAGUUCAUUGCUCUUCAACUUAUAGUCAUACUGGUUAUUUUUUAAUUUCAUUGUUCUUGUUUUAUUUUUACUAACAUAAUCUUUUUUUUACAGUUUGGACCGAAUGAUUAUCACCAAGCGGAAUGAGGAUAAUUGAAUGCAAGACUCGGUUGUAUUUAAUUUUUUGGAAUGCAAAACUUAGUUGUUUUUUAGACUUAGUUAUUUGGUGAUUAUGUUUGAUCUAUAUGAAUGAUGAAUUGGAUUUUUGUGGAUGUUAUAGGAUUUUGAUAAGUUGAAUUUGUCUUUUCUUUGUUAAAGACAUAUUUUAAGAAAUUAUUGUGUUGAUUUAUAUUCCCUUAUUUUAAUUAUUGUUUAUUUAUUUUAAGCAAUAUUAGUAGAUACAAUGCUUACAAAUCUAUAGCCUUAUAUUGAAUUAUACUGGCUAUUCUCUCCAACAAAAUAAAAAUAAAAAAUGAUGUUACAACAAAAAUAGAUGUAUAAGCGUGGUAUGAGGUACAUGCAGUAGGGCAGGUACAAAUUAAUAGCUACUGUACCAUAAAUGAGUUUUAGAUCCAUGGUCUAAGGUUUAGGCCUCAGUUUUGAAAGUGCAACCUAUCAUGAGACAUUUGCUCCGAUUGCAAAAAUGGUCACUCUUUAUACCUUCUUGGCAGUGGCAUCAAUUAAAAAGUGGGAAGUUCAUCAAAUGGAUGUACACAACGCCUUUCUCCAUGGUGACUGGGAAGAGGAGGUGUAUAUGAAAUUUCUUUCAGGUUUAAAAAACACUAACCCAAAUCUUGUUUGCAGGUUAAAAAAGUCAUUGUACGAUUUAAAACAAGCUCCUCAUUGUUGGUUUGCUAAGUUAGUGACGACAUUGAAGCGAUAUGGAUUUAUUGAAUCCUAUUUAGAUUACUCACUCUUUACUUUGCACAAGGGAUAAAUACAGAUCAACAUGCUAGUUUAUGUGGAUGACUUGAUUAUUGCAAUGAAUUAUAUUGCAGCCCUGAAAAUUUUUAAAGCUUACUUAGGUGUAUGCUUUCAUAUGAAGGAUCUAGGAGUCUUAAAACAAAAAAAUUGGUGCUGGAGGUAGCUCGUAAUCACGAGGGAAUUUAUCUAUGCCUGCGAAAAUAUGUCUUCGAUAUUAUUUAUGAAACAGGUUUAUUAGGCGCCAAGCCUGCGGAUUUUUCAAUGGAACAACACCAUAAGCUAGCAUUGGUUUCUGGUACACCAAUUGAAGAUCCAGAAGCAUAUCGAAGACUUAUUUUGUGGUUGAUUUACUUGUCUGUGACUAGACCAGAUCUUGCGUAUUGUGUACAUAUUUUGUCUUAGUUUAUGCAGCAACCAUGUGAAGAGCAUUGGGAAGCAACCUUAUGGGUUUUAGAUAUUUGAAGAAAUACUCGGGCCCAAGGUAUUGUACUUCAGUUUGAUAGUGAAUUGAAACUAGAGGGAUGGUGUGACUCGGAUUGGGCGAGUUGUCCCCUUACGAUACAUUCUUUGACCUAAUGGGUGGUGUUACUUGGUCUUUCUCCGGUGUCUUGGAAAAGUAAGAAACAUCCAACUUUGUUGUUCUUCUGGAGAGGCCGAGUAUCACUCUAUGGCGAUGACUACAUGUGAAUUAAAUGGCACAAGCAGUUACUUGGUGAUAUGGGAGUUAUUUAUUCCAAAGGGAUGCGAUUAUAUUGUGAUAGUAAAUCAGCGUUUCAUAUAGCACAAAACAAAGCAUAUUGAAGCUCAUUGUCACUUUUCCCGUGAUGGCUGGAAUUAUCUGCCCAAUGUAUGUUCCUACAUCGGUACAAUUAGCGGACGUUUUUACAAAUGCCUUGGGAAAAUCACAAUUUACGUUCCUCAUUCUCAAGUUGGCCAUUGGAGCUCUUCACACUCCAACUUGGGGGGNUAGGAUUAUUGAAAUAUUAUUGAGAUUAUGGGUUGUUAAUGAUUGUUGCAGUUACCUUAUAUUUAGGUGUAGCUUGAUUGUAGGUGUGACUAAUUGCUGGAAUCUCUACGGCUCGUAGAUGUGUAACAUAUGAUAGUAAUGUGUGUGUGUGUGUGUGUGUGUGUGUAUAUAUAUAUAUAUAUAUAUAGUGGUCCUGAUGAAUGCAUAGAGACACACAAUUCAAAGAAUUCUUUUGUGGUGAAACUUAACACAUUGAUAUACUCAAGA
rnacentral:lncRNA from 1 species